rnacentral:lncRNA from 1 species
UGUGAACAUAUUCACUGGUUGAUCCAAUAUGAGCAUGAUUGGAAACUAGAUGGCUUUUCUUUGAAGGUCUCCAACUGGGAAAACUAUCUUUUUAUUGAAUUGGUCCACAGAUCUCUGAUGACGUAAAAAACAUGCACUGCCUCAGUUGGGAUUAGAGGAUCUGAGCAGUGGCUGGCCACUCCAAUCACCAUGCCGUGCUGCCUUCUCCCCAGCCCCAUCUCACCAGAUCAUAUGGUCACAGCAGAAGGUUACCCACAGUGUUGACCUACGAGUGUAAGGCAUGUGUAAGGGGAUCAAGGAAGGUUCGGUGAGAUGCUGAAAUGAGAUACAGAAUACAAUGAUCAUAUUCAGGUAAUUUAUGGGUUGAACUUUUCCGUGUUUAUG